CACUCAGGAAGCAGAGGCAGAUGGAUCUUUGUAAGUUCCAGGCCAGCCUGGUCUACAGAGGGAGUUCAAGGACAAAGAGACCAAGACUAAAAAACAGGAGCAAAAAAUGAAUAAAAUUCCCAGCCAUCUUCAGCGAUUUCCGUAACACCCACCGAGUGAGUAUCCCAAUUAUCUGCAUGUGUUGGAGUCAGAAACUCUCGUCUACAAUCUUGGGUACCUGCUAAACAGCUAGAGACAAACGUUAAACGAAAUCAUCAAAACCACAGUCUGACACUACUUGACCCCAGAAGCAGAAGGACUGAUCAAGAAAAAAAUAUAAGGCAGAUGUGGGCCAAGAGUGCCUUGCAUAUCCGUGCUUCACAGAAUUGAUGCUUGCUGAAAAACGACUAAAAGCAAGGGUUGGUCUUCAACCCCUAUGGCAGCUAAUACAGACACCGCUAGGCAUCCAUCAUAUGCCAAACAUAAGGACAUUAGAUCCUACCAGGGUUCCCAACGGCCUUACCUCCCCAACCCAUAAACUGCACUCUUCGCGGUCUGAGUCGGCCCAUGCUGGUCAGGACAGAGCAGACAGGGAGCUGAAAGGAGUAAGCCAGGAUUUGCGAUCCUCCAUAUCCCCAGGCCCCAAUCAGGUGGCGUACACUUUUCUCUCUCCUCACCAGAAAUGUUCACCUCCCAGCUGCUUUGUCAAUCGCCAGCCUUCCCCGGUGCAGCCUGA
rnacentral:lncRNA from 1 species